UAAUAAUAAUUAUGAAAGAAUAAAUAACUUUUAAAUUUUUUCUAAAUAAUUUAAAAUUAAACUUGAACUUUUCUUAUAAAUAAUUGUGUAUGUAAACACAUAAUAUGAUAAAAAUAAAAAUUUGUAUUAUAUACAUGUAUUGUCUUUAUAUCUUUUGUGUUUUGGAUUUUAAUACUUUUUUAUUAUUUAAAUAUAAUCUAUUUAUUUGAAUCGUUUUUAAUAUUCAAAAAUGUAUCUUUCCCGUUUGAUAUGCAUUUCUCCUACAUGAUAUGUUUAAUCUGUCUGCAUAAUCUGCUUGAUCUUCAUAUCUUCUGUAUGAUCCACUUGAUCUGCAUUUGUUCUCCUUGAUCUGCAUGAUCCGCUUGAUCUGUCCUGUUUGAAAUGUUUUCACCAUUCAGAACCUUAAUAUAGAUAUAUAUAGCUUAUUGUUGACUUAAGUUUUUGUAAUUUUCUAGAUAUAUUUUCUAUAAUAUAUGGCUUUGCAAAUUCAAAUUAACACUCUUAUGUAUAUUUUGUCAUUCAACAAUAAUGGAAAAACAAUUUAUGUAACUGUUUAUAUAUUUUAACAAAAAAAAAUACAUAUUUUAAAAAAAGAAAUUCUUUAACCGUACGUAGGGACCUAGUAUUAUAAAUUUAAAAAGCAGCAUGAUAAAUUAUUUUAUGCAUUUAAUCAUUUUUUAACCUUCAUAAAAACUUGAAUAUAGGGUAAUUUUCUCAAAUAAAUCUUUUUAAGUUUUUGUUACAAAAAAAACUUCAAAAACUAAAAUGAUCAAAAUAGCUUAUUUUAUUUUGAAAAUUUUUAACUUUUUUACUAAUUUGAAAUUUUACUCUCCAAAUCCCACUUCUCAACCCUAAACCCUAAACUCUAGACCAAACCCUAAAUUCCACUACUUAACUCUAAACCCUAAUGGGUUUAGAUUAAUUAACUAUAGGGAUAUAAUUAUAUAUUUGCUUCUUUUGAUAAAAUUUUUAAGGGAAAUUGGGCUGCAUAGCUACAAAACAAAACAUAAUUAAAUAUCUAGCCAAAAAAAAAAGUACCUCCAUUAUUUAUGUAAUAUAUACUAUAAUACCCUUAACAACCGGUUAAUGAAAGAUAAAAAUAUCUCUUCUUCUUCUUCUUCAUCUUCGAUUAACAAUUACCAUCAAUCUGCUUUCAUCUCCACCACUUUGUCCUCCGACGCCAUUACAAUACGAUCAUCACUAAUUCUCCAUUGUGUUUUGUGUUUAUCGUCUCUUUAAAGAUUUUUUUUUUCUAUAAUCAGUAUUCCUUUUUCAUAAUUAUUCUCACCUCAUUCAUAUUCACAUUCAUCACUGAACCACCAUCACCAUAGCCAUGAAAUCUACAGAUCACGACGGCGUUACGGUCGAGGCGCCCUUAUUUGAAUCCUAAGUUUUUGAUUGUACUAUGCUAUUUUGACAAUAUGUACUAUGUCAUUUCGUUUGUUACUAUUUUAUUUAAUAUGCUUCAUAUUAUGUAGUACAUGCAUGUUUUGAUAUUUGGGUUAGGGUUUAUAUUUUCUUUUGGGGUUUGGUGAUUGGUGUUUUGGGUUUAGUUUAUGUAAGGUUUAGAUUGACGUUGGGGUAAGCAUUACCUCAUUCCUGCAAUCAUAAACAUUUCAAAAUUUGAAAAAUAUGUAAUAUGCUAUUUUGUUUGUUACUAUUCUAUAUGAUAAUGUUUCAUAUUAUGUACUAUGUGCAUAUUUUGAUAUUUUGGUUAGAGUUUAUAUUUCCUUUUAUGGUUUAGUGAUUAGUGUUUUGGAUUUAGUUUAUAUGAAAAGUUUGGGUUGACGUUAAUAUGUACUAUGCUAUUUGGGUUAGGGUUUAUAUUUUUUUUUAGGGUUUAAUGAUUAGUGUUUUAGGUUUAGUUUAUGAGAGGUUUGGGUUGACAUUGGGAUAAACAUUAUUUUUUUCCAUGUAAUCAUAGACAUUUUAAAAUUUGAACAAUAUGAACUAUGCUAUUUUGUUUGUUACUAUUCUAUUUUGAUACUACUUCAUAUUAUGUACUAUGUGCAUAUUUUGAUAUUUGGGUUAGGGUUUAUAUUUCCUUUUAGGUUUUAGUGAUUAGUGUUUUGGGUUUAGUUUAUGGAAGGUUUGAGUUAAUGUUGGGGUAAGCAUUACUUCUUUCAUUGCAAUCAUAUACAUUUCAAAAUUUGAACAAUGUGUACUAGACUAUUUGAUAUGUUCCAUUCUAUUUAUAAUAUCUCUUUCUUCAACCACAUUAAUUAUGUCGGUGAUUACCAGAAGCACCACCACAACCACAGUAAUCCUUAUCAUGAAAGAUCAUCUUUUUUCAUGUAUCCACGACCGCUUCAUUCUCCAUAGCCACUACCACCGUAGUUUUCACAUCGUCGUUGUAACCAUCACCACCACAUCUUCCAUCCAUUGCCAUUGCGGUAACCACCACCAUCCAUUUUCUAAGCACUGUUGAUUUUCUUACCAAUUACAGUCUUGAUAUUUUAGGUCCACAUAUUUUUCACCAUCAACGUCACCACUUAUUUCUUCUUUCACCUGCAACUUGUUAUGAAAAAGGAUAAAACCGGAUGAAACUUGGAAAAAAUUGUUAGUGACUUAAUAAUGUCAAAAUCAUAGCUAUAUUCUUCAUUUUGCCUCCAAAUUUAGCUAUUUGGCAAAUUAACCCAAUUUUUAAUUCUAUUUUGAUAAUUUUUCUUUUAUUUUUAAGGUCUAUAUUUGAAAAAAAAAAUAUCUUUUCCACAGCAAUCAUUGUCGUCUGGUAGUGACCAUCUCACUCUUCACUUCAAGCAAUCUCGAUAUCUUCUCCACAACGUUUCCAUAUCUGAUCAUAUACCUCUCCAAAUCAAAAUCUGAUCAUAUACCGCUCUGCUCCCGAGUCAUCAUGUGGCGAUCUGGAGAUUUAUAGGAAACGGUGGCUCCAAAUCAAAAUCUCCAAUGAGAUCUUGAUUUCCCACGAUCACGACGUCCAUCGACACGUGAUCGUGAUUUAGUCUUGAUGCAUGCGUAGAAGCCCGUGAAGAGCACUUUCCAAAAACAGGGAAAAAUAAAAACGCGGGAAGGGUAAGGGCAAGAUGAUUGAGGAACCUGAUUCCAAGUGGGUAAACGUGGCAGAAAGAAAGAACAAAAGACCCCACAUUAAUCAAUGUAACAACCGUGGAGAUGAAGAAGGUUCUCGUCAUAGGAACACAGCUGGGAGCCGUUAAGAGUUCAUUCUCAAGACGAUCAUGUCAGGUACAAUCGUGGUAUAAGAAGAGAACGAAGCCCAUAAAAUGAUGUAAGAGAGGAAGUACGCGACGAGGGAAAUAAUCUGAACCAGGAGGUGAGGAACACCCAGUAGGAAGAGAAGGAGUUGACCCAGGCAUCUUAGAGUUUCAAGCUGAACUGAUCAAAACUCAUGCUGCACCAACAAAGGUAAUACGGAAAACUUUAGGUGAGGAAAAUGGCUUAGAUUUGGUCAAAGAUACUCUAUAGGAGCGUGAUAAUUUGUUAGGUGUUGAUGGGAUGGACUUGGAUGAGUUUCAUAAUAGCUUGUUAACGAAUGGGAAUAAUGAGAAUGUUGAGGAUGAAUUUCAUAGUCUCUCUGAUUAGGAGAUUGAGGAUGAUGUUAAGUUUCAGGAAGAUGGGGUUGUUAAUGUCGAGGAAAAACAAAGUGACGAUGCAGAGGCAAAGACUCUGGUUGCUGGUGAUACGGUGAUGAAGCAGGGGGCCCGAAAGUGGUUGUUUAAACCAUCCACUAUCACAGGAGGAUCAACUAAGAUGAGAAUGUAUCAGGCGCUGAUUUCUCCACGCAAGCGUAAUGUUGCCAAAACAGGCACCCUCCAAGGAGACAACUCUAAACAGGUGGAGGAUAAGGGUAUAUCAAACCCAAAACCUGGUCUACCAAAACCUUAAUAGUGUUUAUGGAUCAAGUCAGUCCAGUUGAGAAGUUAUGCGAGCAGCUUUUGGUUUAUGGUUUCAGUAUUUUAAUUGUUCUAAUAAGCUCCAUGAGCAUUUUAUCUUGUUUUAUUGUUGAGGUUUCGUGAAUUCCUGUUUUUUUUUAUUGAGGAUUUGGUUGUUGGUAAGAUCUAUUUAUAAUGGCCCUGUUCGUUUGUACAUCUGGAAUCUGGAAGAUGCAUCUAGAUGGUCCAUCUAAAUGUCUUAUCCAGAUGCUUUAUUUGAGUGUUGUUCGUUUUUUCAUUUUGUUCAUACAUCCAGAUGAAUCAUCUGAAUGCAGCUAUGUUCGUUUUUUUAACUUGCAUCUGCAUCCAGGUGGACUUGUUAAUAAAAUGACUAAAAUAUUUUUUUUUAUGUUUCGACGGAAAAAUAACAUUUUUACGGGUUUGGCGGAAAAUACGUUUUUAUGGGUUUUGGCGGAAAAUACGUUUUUGCGGUUUGGCGGUAAAAGUACGUUUUGCGGUUUUGGCGGAAAAUGUGUUUUUGACGAAAAAGUGUGUUUUGCGGGUUUGACGGGAAAAGUUUUUUUCGUAAUUUUGGCGGGAAAAGUGCAUUUUUGCGUUUUUGACGGGAAAAUGCAUUUUUGCGUUUUUGACGAAAAAUAUUUUUUGCGGUUUUUGACGGGAAAAUGAGUUUUUCUGGUUCUUGCGGGAAAAUACGUUUUUUUGGUUUUGGCGGAAAAAUACGUUUUUUGGUUUUAGCGGGAAAAUGUGUUUUUUCCGGUUUUGGCGGGAAAUGCGUUUUUCCGGUUUCGGCGAAAAAUGCGUUUUUCCGGUUUCGGCAAAAAAAUGUGUUUUUCCGGUUUCGGCGGGAAUAUACGUUUUUCCGGUUUCGGCGGGAAAUACGUUUUUUCGGUUUCGGCGGAAAAAUGUGUGUUUUCCGGUUUCGGCGGGAAAACGUGUUUUUCCGGUUUCGGCGAAAAAAUGCAUUUUUCCGAUUUUGGUAGGAAAAUACGUUUUUUGGUUUUGGCGGGAAAAUACGUUUUUGGGUUUUAGUGGAAAAUUUUUUUUUUCGGUUUUGGCGGAAAAAAUGUUCGGUUUUGACGGGAAAAUACGUUUGGUCUCAUUAAACCGUAUGCAGCUACGAACUAGAUGCCUUAUAGAUGUGCUGGACAGGUUUACUGGUCUAACCCGACAACAAGCACGAGGGUUUGGUGAUAUGGGAUACAAUGGUAAUGGAUUGAGAGUACAAUGGUCAACUAUAAAGCAGUGCCAGGCUAGGAAUGAGUUAUGGAAUACCAAUUACACAUUGGUUCCUAGUUAAUGGCUCUAUAGUUAUAUUGCUUUGUGUUUAUUUGGGUUACACAUGAUGUACACAUUGGUUCCUAUUUAAUGGCUCUAUAGUUAUAUUGCUUUGUGUUUAUUUGGGUUACACAUGAUUCAACAUAAAUUAUCGAUCAGUAUUUAUUCUUGACGAUUUUGUUUUGUGUAUGGUUAUGGUUAUAUAUGAGUCAGAGGUUACUACACAAUAAGGAUAUACUAUUUAUUUUGGUUAACGGGUGUUUUUGUUUUGGUGGUGCACAUUGCUUCUUCACAUAGUAUAAUCUUAUGAGGUGGGUACAGAAACAAACAACAGACAUUUGGAAAAAUAUGGUAUCACGGCUGCAUGCGGAGAACAAGCAAUCACUUUUGCCUGCCUUGGUAAUCAGAAUAUCAAUGCAACAUCAUAGGUUAUCUGGGCACGUAGGGUUUCUUUGCACCUGGUUGCUUAGCUCAAAGGAGCAAAUAAAAAAAUAUAUUAUAAAAGUUCUCAGCUGGAAUUGUAGGGGUAUGUGAAGCAAAUAGACAAUAAAUUAUCUUAGAGAGAUAUGGCAUAAACAUAAACCUAAUUUUUUUUGUCUUAAUCGGAAAUAAAGCAAGAUUUUGCUUUCAUUCAAGGACUUCAAUCACCCUGGAUCAGCUUUAUACUUCAAUAAUGAGUAUCAGGUUAAAGUCUUGUACACAAGUAACAAAAUGAUAGAUAUGGAAGCAGUAGCUCUUGGAAUAUCAGUCUUCAUGAAAUUUGCAUACGGAGACCCGGUUCAAAAAUUAAGAGAUCAAGUAUGGAAACAUACAAGAUAUAGCCUGGAAAGAUCUGGCAUGUGGUUUAUCAUUGGAGAUUGAAUGAGAUCACUGGAAACCAUGAAAAAACAAGGUGGUUCUUUGAGAUAUGCAAGAUCGUUCUUAUCCUUCAAUAAUAUGAUUUGGAAAAGCGGACUUUUGAAAUUUCCGGCUAGGGGGAAUCAAAUGUCCAGGCAAUGAAGAAGAAGGAAAACGAUGAUUCGGUGUUGUUUGGACCGAGCUUUACCAAAUGAGGACUGACACGCGUUUUUUCAUGUUCUUACACAGAAUAUUUAGGGAUGAUAGGCUCUGACAAUCCACCAGUAGUUACUUAUCUUGAGGAUGAAGUACCCAGGCGGUGGGGACAAUUUCGAUUUGAUAAAAGAUGAAUGGACAGGACGGCUUAUUGGAAUCCAUUGGUAGAAGCUCGGGUCAUUCAACAUAGGGGAAUAUGGGGGAUUUUUGUAUCAAAAAUUAUUAAUUGUCGUCAUGAGAUUGCUCUUUGGCAAAAGAAUAAUCCAACAUAUGGCAAGGAGAAAAUCAGUGAACUUCAAAAAGUUCUGGAAGAAGUACAAACAGAAAACAACAGAACUCAAGAGGAUAUACUGGAAGUAUCUGGGAAUUUACAGGAAGCGUAUAUGGAUGAGGAGGAGUUCUGGCAACAAAAGAGUCAUAAUAUGUGGUAUAUAUCAGGGGAUCUUAAUACUAAAUUUUAUCAUGCCCUAACGAAACAACGUCGUGCUCGUAAUAGGAUUGUAGGUCUCUACGAAUAUGAUGGAAACUGGAUAAUAGAGGACAAAAAGGUAGAAAAGGUUGCAGUGGAUUACUUUGAUGGCAUGUUUAGUACCACUUCACCUUCAGAAUUCCAAAAUUUCUGGAUGAGAUUACGCCUAGCAUCACUGCACAGAUGAAUCAAAGGUUAUUCAGGAUUGCAACAGGGGAUGAAGUACGACGAGCUAUGUUUACUACGCAUCCAGAGAAAGCAUUUGGACCGGAUGAAAUGACAACUCUAUUUUUUCAACACUCUUGACAUAUAAUAAAAAAAAAAAAGACAUUCUGGAUAUGGUUAAUUAUUUUUUACUACAGGGAAACUAGAUACAAGGUUAAAUAUUACAAAUAUUGUUUGAUUCCUAAAAUGAAGCGGUCCACAAGGAUAACAGAGCUCAGGCUUAUAAGUUUCUGUAAUGUAGGAUACAAGAUUACAUCUAAGGUAUUAUGUCAGAGGUUGAACUUGAAGGCUUGUCUUCCCACACUUAUCUCGGAAACACAAUCGGCUUUUGUGGCUGGAAGAUUGAUCUCUGACAAUAUCUCAUUGCUCAUGAGAUGUCACUACAAAAACGUUUUUUCUUUGCGUAAUUAAAAAGCUAUGACAUGUUAUUCUUAACGUUAUUGAAACCGCUAUGUCUACCCAAACUAUAAUAGGCCUCCCCUAUAUCAUAGCAGUUUUAUAAAAUGCUAUUGUCUCCAAACUAUAUAAUAGCAUUUCUCAUAGUUUGUUGUUAUUGGGUAACAUCAUAAUUAAAUAAAAAUAAAAAUUAAUCCAAAAACUGAUUUAUAAAUUAAAAAUAAAUAAAUUUAUUUAUUUAUAAAUUAAAAUAGAAUUACAAAUAAAUUUUGGUUUACAAUGUUAAAAAAGAAUUAAAAAAUAAUUAAACCAACACAGAUGCCCAAAUCGAUUUACACUAAACCAAAUCUAUAAAAAGAAAAGACAUCAUGCAUGAGCCUUUCCUCUUCCUAUGUUUGCUUUGGAUAUAGAGUAUAAGCAUUAUGGAUUAUACUCUAUGGUGUAGGUUUAAGGUGGAGAAGCAUUAUGUUUUUUUCAAAAAAAAAUUUGAAAAUCGAAAAUUAUUUUUGAAAUAUUUUUUAUAUUUUUAUAUAUUUUUAAGUAUUUAUUUGUAUAUUUAUUAGAAUCAUAAAUUUCACAUUCCAAAACCUCUAUCCACCCCUCAACACUAAACUCUAAGUCUAGAUUAGUUAAUCCUAGGGUUAUGAAUAUCUUUUACCCUUCAUUAAAAAUGAGAGUAAUAGUGGUUAGUGUAAACAUGAAAAGUAGUACUAUGAAUGUGACAUUUUUGGCAAUUUUCCAUCAAUCUAGACCUUUCAAAAAAUAAAAUCAAUGGUCAAUAUUAGUUAUCAUCACCCUUGUAUGUGAUUGGCCACUUUAUGUUUACCAAUCAGAUUUUUAAAGCUAUUUUUUUUAAAUACUAUUGUUUUCUACACUAUUUUGUGCUUUAAUAUAUAUAAUAUUUUUAAUAUAUUUUCGUAAACAAAAAAAUAUAUUGAGAAAACAUCAAAAUUUUAUAAUUCACAAUAGAAAAUUUAUAAUUUUAAAAGUUAAACUUUGUGAUUGAUAUUUGGGUAUAAAAUAGAGUUUAUGGUUUAUGAUAUAUAACAUAGGGUUUAAGUUUAAAAUUUGAAAUUAAAAUUCAGAGUUAAAAAAUGAAGUUAAGGGUUUAAGAAAUAUAGUUUUGGUGUUUAAGUUUGAAAACAUCAGAUUUAUAUUAAGAUUAUGCGUUGGAUAUAGAGUAUAAAUUUAGGGUUUAGGGAUUGAAGUAUUGUGUUAAGGUUAGUUUUAGCAUAUAAAAUUUAUGUAUUUGAGUUUAUAAUUAAUUACAUUUUAGUGUUAUGAUAUAAGGUAUGGAGUAUGGGGUUUGAGAUUUAGAGUAAAAUUAGAUUAUUGAAUAAAGUUUUAAGAUUAUUAUUUAUGUUUGAGUGUUUUGAGUAAAAAUUUGGGGUUUGGUUUAAGAUUUGUAUUAUUUUAAAAUUUUGAGUGUAGAGAUAAUUUUUUAAGAUUUUAGAGAUUUAAGUAGAGAAUAUUAGAUUUGAAGUUUAAUUUAUGAAUUUAAAUAUAUGGGGGAGUUAGGGUAAGAUUUGAGUUUGUUUUUUGAAAAUAAUAAAUUGAUAGUUUAUAUUAAGGUUUGGUGUUUAAGUUUCAAAAAUAUAAGAUUAAUAUUUAUAUUAUGAUUUGGAUGUAGGGUUUUAGGGUUUGAAGUGUAAUGUUAAGGUUUGGUUUUAAGAUUUUAAGAUUAAAAAUAACUAAAUUUUAAAUUUUAUUUUAAGAAUUGGAACUAAAUAUGAACAGUAGGGGUGUUGAAUACAAUAUGUUAGUGUUGAUAUUUAUAACUUGGAGUAUAAUGUUUAUAUAUAGAGUUUAGGAUAUAUAGUUUAAUUAAGGAUUUAAGGUUUGUGGUUUGGAAUUUAAACAUUAAGAUUAAAAGGGAUAAUUUUGAGGUUAAGUUUAUGAUUUCAGGUUAUUGUAUGAAAAGAUUUGAGUUUUAAGGUUUAUGUUUAGAGUUUAACGUUUAAUACAUGUUUAGGGUUUAAAAUUUCAAAGAUUAGAAAUUGAUUUUUCAUUGCAGUUCUGAAAACAAUGCUAUCAUAAUGUGUUAUAGAAAAAAAAAAUAUUAUGUCUAGGCGCAUGUCUAAUUUUCACCUAAAUAUUAGCGGUAUUAGUGAUUUUCUCUUCCCGCUUACUAGUUUUACACAACAGCAUUACUACACUGCUAUUAAUAUAAACCUAAAAAAAAUAAUUUUUGAUAGCAGUUCAGAAAACACGGUAUCAUAAUGUGCUAUCAAUAUCACUUUUUUUUGUAGUGUGAGUAAAGAAUAUGAGAGGAUUGAAUGGACCUUUAUUCAGGCACUACUUCACAAGAUGGGAUUUUGUUGUAGGCACGGGUCCGGCCAAUCCUGUUGGAUCAACUGAGGUUUCGGAUCCGACAGCAAGACGGUAUGGGCGAACGGCCGGAAUGGACUUUUGGAAGCCGAUUUGUAACCUGAAACAAAAGUGUAAGUUUUUAUGAGUUUUCUUAUGGAUGUUUAUGAAUGAAACAUAAACAAAUAAGAUAACUAAUAUUAUGAAUAGAAUAUGAAUGAUGAUGGACGAGUUGAUCAAUGGGCGAUAGAUGAUAUGCAAUAUGGAAAUAACAAAGAAAAGAGAUAGGAUCGUUGGAGGAUGGAAUCUUUUUGCUGGACGUAUGUCACUCUCAACAAUAUCAGUGGAUGGAAUGAUGGAUCCGGUUAGUGCUGGAUGUGUAUCGCUCUCAAGAACAGACGAGGGAUGAAGAUGGAUCGAUGGACUCCACAAAGAACAAUGGACGGCUCUUUGAUAUGUCAACGAUUUUCUGUCAAGUUGGCUUCACGCAAACUGGAAAGAGUUUAGGAUUUUGCUAGAGGAAAACUGACUCAUAUAUUAUCUUAGGUAAAAAAAUACACGGCUGCUUAUAGUGGGUAUUAAAUACCCGGCAGUUUUGCCUUUCUAGAAGACUUGAAGCAAAAACAACAUGGACUCUGACUCUCUUGGACUGUAAAGCGACAAGGCCAAAACAUAAUGGACCGACUCUACUUGGACUACUAAAGCAAAGGCUAACAAAGGCCUUGAAUUAUUGGACUCAAAUCAAGCUAAUGAAAAUCGAAUCAGCAAGGAAAAGGAAAGAGAACCUAAUCAAUUUGGAAUACAAAAAUUAUGGAAACUAAGUUAUUGCGGUCGACCCGAAAAUGGAAACCGGUCGAGAAAAUUGGUAAGAAAAUAUCCGACCAGCUUUCUAACCGAGCUAAAGAUCUAAUAUUGUUUUUUUGUAUUUUCAAUUUGAAUGUAAUGAUGAACACAAAAGAACAGAAACCUAAAUAUGCAAUUUUUUUUUUAAGAUGAUGCAUAAGUAAAAGAAUGCAACUAAGAGAAAUAGAUAACCGAAGGAACCAGCUUCGGCUCUGAUACCAAAAUGUUGUAGGCACGGGUCCGGCCAAUCCUGUUGGAUCGACUGAGAUUCUGGAUCCAACAGCAAGACGGUAUGGGCAAAAGGCCAGAAAGGACUUUUGGAAGCCGAUUUGUAACCAAAACAAAAGUGUAAGUUUUAUUAGUUUUUUUUAUGGAUUUUUAUGAAGAAACAGAAACCAACUAGAUAACUAAAAUGAUGAAUAUAAUAUGAAUGAUGAUGGACGAGUUGAUCAAUGGGCGAUAUGCAAUAUGGAAAUAACAAAGAAAAGAGAUAGGAUUGAUGGAGGAUGGGAUCUUGUUGCUGGACAUAUGUCUCUCUCAACAAAAUCAGUGGAUGGAAUGAUGAAAAGAGAUGGAUCCAGUUCUUUUUGUAUGUGUGUCUCUCUCAAGAUCGGACGAGGGAUGAAGAUGGAUCGAUGGACUCCACAAAGAACAAUGGACGGCUCUUUGAUAUGUCAAGGAUUUGCUCUCAAGUUGGCUUCAUACGAACUGGAAAGAUUUUAGGGUUUUUCUAGGGGAAAACUGACUCAUAUAUUAGCUUAGGUAAAAAAAUACACGGCUGUUUAAAGUGGAGAUUAAAUACCCGAUUGCUUUGCCCUUCUAGGGGACUUGAAGCAAAAACAACAUGGACUCUCUUGGACUCUAAAACAACAAGGCCAAAACAUAAUGGGCCGACUCUACUUGGACUACUAAAGCGAAGGGUAACAAAGGCCUUCAAUUAUUGGACUCAAAUUGGAAAUAAAAGGGUACAAGUUUGCCCAUUGUGUCUUAAUGAAAUCGAAAAUAAAUCAACCAAACACAAACCAAAAAAAAAUAAACCGGUUAGAAAUCAUGAUUGAAUCCUUACAUGCUUACCUUAUUUGGAUCAGGCGGCUAAGUCUCUAAACCAGAUGCAAUUGGACUUGAGGCCGAACCGAGAUUUAAUGUGGAGAUGAUUAGACGGGCUUGGUUCUGGGUGAUGGAUGAGAACUGGAUCGUACCGUACGGAUCUUGAACCUCUAUUGGACCGGCUUGUUCUUCAAUCUUUAACUCGGCCAUUUCUGAAUCAGCAGCUGCUUGAAGCCGGUCUUGUCUUGAUCUAUCAUUUCUUGGACAUCCUUGGUGAGAACAUAUCUUAUGACCCCCGAACCUGACCUGGUUGUAGGACCUUUGCGAACUAGAGGAACCUCAGCUUGCGUUGCCACAACAGAUUUGACCAUCGUUGGAUCCAACUAAUGAUGGAAUAUAUUUCCUUGGUAUAAUUUAGAGGUUUAUUGAAUGACUAACCAUGGGGAGACAUAAUUCCACAUGGGAUCCUACGAUAGGGUGAUCCUUUGUCUCGUUAUUUGUUUAUUAUGUGCACAGAAGCACUUAUUGCGAAUAUUUAUAAAGCUGAGAAAGAGAAACAUUUAGCGGGAUAUGAAGGUUGCAAUGACUUGUCCCUCAAUUUUUUAUCUACUCUUUCCAGAUGAUAGUCUCUUCUUUUGUAGAGCACAAAAACAGGAAUUCCAAAAAAUUCUCAGGAUUUUGAAGGAAUAUGAGGGGGUGUCGGGUCAGCAGAUAAAUUUUUAAAAAUCUCCGAUUCAAUUUGGUCAUAAGAUUGAGGAACCCAUCAGAUAUGAACUAUGAGAUAUUUUAGGGAUACAAAAUUUAGGAGGAAUGUGAUCAUAUAUUAGAAUGCCUGAUAAUUUGGGAGGAUCAAAAACACAAGUUUUUGGUUUUGUAUACUAUCUUAUAAAUCCCUUAUAUAUUAAUUGAGGAUCUUUUAAAUAGUUAUAACCUUAAGUUUGUAAUAAUUAAAAAAUGACCCCAUCCUAUUUGGCAGUGUUUUAAGCUUCUUAAAGGCUGACGUGUCAGAAUUAUAAAGCAUUUAGGAAUAACAUAGUUUAAAAUUAAACUCCCUAGAGAAAUACAUUAUGCGACAGUAACAUGAAUAUUGGUCUAUCGUUUUUAAAUGGGCUGUCGUUUUAAAGGAGUUUUAAAAAAAUCCGAGUAUGUUAAAAAAGGACCCAUCGUAUGUCGUUUUGAUAUGUUGUGUAAUAUGAUUGUCCACCUAAAAUCAUCGAGUAAUAAACUUCAUCGUGUAUAUAGAUUUUUUUUUGGAGCUUUGUUUGCUGUUGGGGACCUCUAACAAUAAGAACAACCAGGACCUGGAGAUAAAUUAAAUUGUACUAAACAUAGUGUCUUACAAUAUGUCAAAAAAGUAACGCAUUGUGUCAGUCAAUUAUUCCAUCAAGUUACUCUGUAUGCAAAACUAAUAGUUUGUUCUACUUCUCCUUGGUUAUCUUAGUAUUAGCAGCAAUUUUUUAAAAUUCAACAUCAUCAUACAUAGCAUCAUAUAUUUGUAGUAUGAGUAUUGACGAAUGUGAGUAAAUUAUACAAAGACUAUUGCUGAACAUGUUAAUUUCUAUGAAAUUUUUUAGAAAUUGUGUAUUUAGUCGUAUAGCAUUACAAUGUGUAGCAAUGGUCUUAUAGCUUCUGUAUCAAUUGACAGCCAAACGUAACCAAAUCACAAGCUGGUCAUAUUGAACUUAACUGAAAAACCGAAAAAGUUUAACUUCUUUUUAUUGUAAAUCAUAGUUCCAUUUUGCAUUUUGAUUUCAAUUGAACCGUACUAUAAACAAUUAAAUAAUAAAAUUGGUAUAAGACCAAAGUUAUCUUAGGCGCGCAUCGAAUAACUUCUGUAGGUCGACUAAUUAAUAUGGAAAUAUAGUAUUUACUACUUUGAAAAAUUUGGGAGCAAGGCAUAGGUUGAUAUGAUAUUUUAGUUAGUUAAGGUAACCUAAUAUAAGUGCUUAUAUAUCGAAUAUAAUUGCUUGAUACACAAGUUCGGCUUAAUUAAGUUUAGAAAUAUUGUAUUUACUACAUUAUAAACUUUGGGACCAAGCCAUAAGUUGAUAUGAUAUUUUCGGUAGUUAAGGAAAAAUACAAUUAAUCCCUUUAGUUGCAGUUAAUGACGAUUACUAGAAGAAUUGAAUUUUUUAGUUGCUAAUCAAGUGAAAAGAUAAUAUUUUAAUUUUGAAAUAUAAAUUGUUCUUUAAUAAUUAUAAACUAUUGAAACCAUUAAACAUUCUACAUUAAAAAAAAAAUCGUUGGUGUAAAAUUUUGUUACACAAAUAUGCAAAUAAUCAUAAAAUAAUAUGAGUAGAAACCUCAUUAAUAUCCAUAUUAAAAAGUAUACUAUAUAUAUCUAUGUUAAUAUCAUUUAAAUUUAAUUAUAUAUCAUAAACGAUAAAUAAGAUUGAUUAAUUUGAUUUAUUUACCAUAAAAUGAUUGCGAAUAAACAAUAGCGGUCGUUUGAUUUAUAUGCGUACGCCAAUUUAAUACCUAAUUGUAACUGAUUUUUUAGUUAUUUAAUAUAUAAUUAUUAUUUUAUUAUUUCAUAAUAUGCAGAAAAAAAUAAAAUAAUUAAUAAAUAUAAAAUAUUUAUUCUGAUCAAGGCGCUGAUCUUAACUUAAGUAUGUAUCUCUUUAAUAAUUUUAAAUCUUAAAUAUUUUCGAAAUCUCAGAUCAAAACAAAAUAACAAAAUUAGAAUAAACUCAAAAAUCAAUAUUUAUAUCGAGUAAUAACCAAAAU